CAGUAGCCACGGGAAUACAGAGGGUGCGAGCGUUAAUCGGAUUUACUGGGCGUAAAGCGUGUGUAGGUUGUUGUUCAAGUCAGUUGUGAAAUCCCUGGGCUCAACCUGGGAACUGCUUCUGAGACUGAACGACUAGAGUACGGUAGAGGGUGGUGGAAUUUCCGGUGUAGCGGUGAAAUGCGUAGAUAUCGGAAGGAACAUCAAUGGCGAAGGCAGCCACCUGGGCCUGUACUGACACUGAGACACGAAAGCGUGGGGAUCAAACAGGAUUAGAUACCCCCGUAGUCCCUGUCUCUUAUAC
rnacentral:rRNA from 1 species